AAAGCCCCCUCUACGUCGUCCGCGGCUCUUUCACUCUCUGCACAACAUGAAGACCCCUUCCUUGACGCUUCUAUGUCAUUUCUCUCUCUCUCUCUCCCCCUUUCUCUCUCUCACUCUCUCAUCUUGUCUCUUGCUAUAGUAUUUAUAGUAUAUAGUACAUAGAGGCUGGUACAUACUAGCAUGUACAAUGGGAAGGAUAUCCUGAGCUGUAUGUAGCUACAGGCGAUAACCCAUUACCCUGAAGUACUUGAAAACGAUCGUGUGACCUAUAGCUAAGAAUGUUACACAAUGACAACCGAUAGGAGAGGGAUAGACAAUCGAAUUGCAUGCUGGGAACUCGUCUACUUGGUAAAAUCUCGAUAAAUUCAAAGCAAAAUUAGAAUACAUCUUUUUUUCCUGUCUGGUGUGAUGUAAUCGGUACUCCUUCACACGGCUUUACGAUUUUAUUACGAUAUUGACGCCCUCCACUGCUACGAAUAUCUACUACAGGACCUGGAGUGCUCUUCGGUCAGACGAAUAUCGACUGUGCUGCUGCUGCUGCUCGUUGCUCGUUGCUCAGCUCGCUUCCACGAGCUCUCGACUUUACGAUGUUUGCCAAGUUCAUGGAGCGAAGACGAGGAGGCUGAGUUACUCUUGCGUAAAUGUUGUUAAAGUAUAAUGAAACUGAAUUCCUGGUACCGCUAAUCGGAUUGCAAUCUGACGGAGGUAUCUAAUGUGUAUGUGGUAUACGCUUGCGUCUAUGUUAAUCAACCUGGCGAUAUUACUCAAUCACCAUAUAAUUGAGAUAAUUGACGUGGAGGUACAAAGGGACUUGGUUACGUGGUUGGAUCGAAGAUUUUCCUCUCCAUUCUGCUGUCGCAGCAGGACUCUACGUGCUCUGGCAUUCUCUGACAUGCAGGGGGUUACGUACUGCACUCAACGUGAAAUGCAAGAUCAUAAGAAACAGCCUGUUAAUGAGCACUCCUAACAAAUUAUUCCAACUUCCGACAUGAACUUCUCCACUGGAAUGAACGGAACAAUGAAUAAUAAUUGGACGAAGCUGGGCAAUUUCGACCAACUCAACAUUGCAGACUAUGCACUUACACUUGAACCAGAUUGAAGAAUGAAAAAGGAAGGAGUCUAUCGACCCCGCGACAACAGUUUCCUCGCAAUAAACUCCAACAAAUCUUUCUACAGCCACCGGGAUAUUUCAAGAAUUCCUUGUAAUUUCCAUUCGACAUCAUAUCUGCAGUGCAUCCACUUUUCAUCGCCGUUCAUGGUCUUCUGCAUCCGUCUUGGAAAGUUACGCAAGCUCAACACUAUCUAGCUAAACCGAUUGCGAACCGGGCGCGCGAUAAAUAAGUCUCAGGCAGAGAAGUCAGGUCGUUACCUACUGUACAGUCUGAGUAUAUAUACUGCACGACAUUGAAUUGCUAAUUCAAAAGCAUGGGCCUUGCGAGGUAACCCACGUACAUACUAGCGCAUAGGGUACGACGCGCUCUGCUAUACGAAUCUUCAAAGUUUCGUACGGGUUCUGCAAGCAGGUAACUUCGCUACGAAUUUCUGCAUUGCGGAGACUUGAAUCGCCCUGCGAAAUCCUAGGUUAUACGAGCGCGUGCUUUACCGCUGCAAAUGACAUAAGUAAAAAAAUAAGAAAUCAUUACGAGUUACUGCAGCGUGAUAUUAGACGGUCUUGCAAAUGGACUUUGCGACAAUUUACAGUGUAGUAUGUUAUAGUGAAAAAAGUAGUAUUAGGUCGUGUAAUUUUAUUUUUUAUGCACAUUCAUACAUAUUGCCUCUUACGAAAUCUCUACCACUCACCGCUAGGAUAUUGAGUCUUGUGUUAUUGCCUUUUGAGAAUAACACCUAACGCUGCUGCCUCUUACUUUUUAAUAAUAACGAAAAUGAGAACAGUACUGUAGUUGGACAUUCACUAUUGAUGCGUUUACCAAGUACUAUCUAUGGUUUAUAUCCUAGGGAAACGACGAUGCAUAGUACGCAUAAUACGUGUCGUAUAUUUCUUAAUAGAUAACUUGGAUCAAGGCCAGUUCUCAAUGUUUCUAAGGAAUACCUUUCUUACGCCAAUAUGAUGGCAAUCAUGCCGCGGUGCAAUCUGCGCAAUAACGUCGCACUAUUAAUAAGAACUACGUUGCAUGGGAAAUGAUCGCGACGGCUUCUAUAUUUUUUUCCCCGUCGACGAGAUAGACAAUUGAGAUAAUAAAAAAAAGGUCGUAACAGUAAUAUUUCGAAAUUGCAUAAGAAACUCGAUUCUCACUGAGCGAUUCAAGCCGUGGACUUAAUGCGAUUCGCUUUUGGAUUAACGAAAUGAAUUAUUAAUCGCUAAAGGUAAACGGUGCCACAGGAAUAAAACGAAUCUGGUAUAAUCAGUAUAAUGCAUUAUGAAGCAAGUGAAUUCCGUGAUUCCUCUUGGCGGUAAAUUUGAACGAGUAAUUUUGCAAAAUUUUCAAUAUAUUUUUGCCGCUUUCAAAAAGUACUUUUAUAACGCGUGUUCUUGUACGGUAUUCUUUUGUAAAUAGACACUGACGUGUUAAACUAAUUGUCUGCGCAGAUUAUUGAAAAUUCAUAUUCGAGUCUAGCAAAAGUAUCUCGACCAAUGCAAGUCGAAGACUUGUGUUAACUUUUCAAUUAGAAUCCUAUUGAUUUCGCACGUUAUUAUUUUCAAAUCCGCGCGUUUCUGAGAGUCUUUAUCAAGGAAGGAAUCUACGAAGAAAGGAGGAAAACUUGUUUUGUAAGAAUGAAUGGGGGAGUUGGGAGAGACAAGGGUCAAAGGCAAUUGAAGGAGCGAUGCCUUAGGAAGAUUCAUAGAGAGGACACCAAUAGUAAUAACAAUAACGGUAAUAGGAGUAACAAUCAACCGCCAUAGAAAUAGCUCUUUGUGUCGGAAAACUGUAGUUAUAAAUGUAUAAAAUGAAAUGUCUUCAAUGGCAUCGUAUAUUACAGUUUAAAUAGCGCACUCGAGAUUUAAACGAACGCGAUUAUUCUCAAUUAUCAAAAGAAUUUUUAUGCAAUAUUUUAUACAAAAGACUACGGGUAUUAACAUUCUUUUCAAUUUGAGUUUCAACAAUAUUUUUAAACACUUCUCGCCAUUAACGUCGUAGCACGAAGUUUUCAUGUCAAAGCCUUAGCAGGGCUUUAUGCGUAUAUAUAUAUAUAUAUAUGUGCAACAAUCAUUAAACGAUCUUUAUAACUUCAGGGUGAAAGAGAUUCAUCGCGUUUUGAAUAACGUGUCACUCAUUUUCGUAAAUACGAGGGUAACACGCUGAUACGAAAAAAAAGCCAGCACGCAAUGCGAACAACCGCUACGAGUGAAAACAAAGAUAAAACAAAUAAGAUCCUACAUCAGUAAAAAAAAACGUUACAAAUCGUUGAGACCAAUGAGAUUUAAUAGCCAUAAUAAAAAUGUUAUUGCACUGGAAAUCUAAAACAGUAGAUAUUCAUAUCCAUGAUUUAUUUAACCACUUAACAACGUACCACAUCCGAACGUUCAGCCAUCUGCGAUCCAGAAUUAUUUUUCAUGUUUGUUUAACGAUUUUGCGCACGACCGCCUACCAAAUGUCAGGUUAAAUGGUUAACCUCAAAAUUUUCCCAAACCCACGUAUCUCCGUACAAGGUAUUGAUAUUGCGUCGCGCUUCAGAGACAAGGUACAGAUUAACAAUAAUGAAAUGUCAAUGAUAAAUUAGUACAAAAGGUAAUAUCCGAAGCGUACAGUGAACAGGGUAUUAAUUCACAACAGAUAAUACUGAUAUAUCGACGACAGAAUAUCUUCCUGCGAAUUACCAUAGAAAUAUCAUACACGGGUUAAGCUGCUAUUUUUAUGCAUAUCGUUGCACCCCGAUAUUUUAUGACUUUGCAUAAAACAUUUUCUACGCUUAUUCAAUUUAAAGGAUCUCAGCGCAUCUAUUGUACCGACAUAUUGUUAGUUAUCAAUCGGAGAGCUUAGCCUUAGUGAAUCUACGACAGAGGGCAAUAGGGAUUAUCGUUGUUCACCUUGUACGUGUUUACAAUCAGCUAACCAGAAAAGUAGACACUUCAUCCAAAGCACUCGUAUACUCUCAUGGACUGUUCGAUAUUCCACUAUCUAGAUAUAUAUACGUAUAUACUAGACACUAUUAUCAAGUAUGUGUACAUAUGCAUAGUUCAGUGUACCUCAGCCUUAGCUAAGUGAGGGUGAGUAUGUAUCUGUAAUCCUUUAUUGAUGGAUGACACUUGAAAAUGGUAACACUUUAGUAAACCUAUCUGAGGCAUAUCAAUAACAAGAUAAAAAAUGGUCAGGAAGUUCCUGAUGAUUACCCUUCAGAGGGAAUGGAAGAAUGAAUGAUAAGUCAAUUGUAUCUGGGUGUCUGAUUGUAUAUGAAGUAUGUAAAUAUUUGCAGGAAGAAGAAGUAUGACGAAGGAGUAUGGCGUUGAAGAGAGAAGAGAAUGGUGGUUCAUGGUGGAUGGAAAAUUCGUCAGGCGAUCAUCCUUCUGGAUUGCGGAAUAACCGUGGGUGGAACACGCAAAGCAAGAUUCCCAACGGAGGAUAAUACGUCGAUAAUGCGGUUGAUGGGGCUGCAAUUUAAACUUGAUUCUGUAAUAUUGAUUGACGUAGGUCGGGACAGGUCGAAACUAGAGAAGACAAGAGAGUUACGAGCCACACCUGGGUACUUUAUAUAGCUCAUAGCUCGUACUUACUGAUAGCUCGGGAGGCUCGUACGUGCCACGAGACAUCGAGCGGGCUUGUGUUUUUCCCGUGGAAACGAGUUCGUAAAGGGGCUUUACGAGUUUCUGUUCUUCGAUCGUGUUUCCUUGAGCGGAGGAAAAAAAUGGCACAGAUACCGUCGUCUUUGCUUCAUGUAUAUACCUUGAAGAGAUUGAGCAUUCUGAUAAGUCAGAAUAGCUAAAAGCAGUAUUCGAAGAAACGUCCCGUGUCUAAUUUGACACCAUUCUUGGCUGCAGAUAUCGAAUGGGUCUUUGGGCGUCUGUGGGCCACACCUGAGAAAACGUUGGCGUUCACAUGGCAGCCGUUUGUGCUAGUACCGCGUUCUGCUGAGCUUGCACGAAUUACUGUUGUACGAUAAGAAUAUUUUGCUCGUUGAGUUUCGAUAUUGUAUUGCGUAGUUAACUUUAAAUGGUGAAUUUACUAUUGAGGUCGAGGUGAUGGAAACUGUGGCACAGUGGAAAAAUUUGACUGCGCACUGCGACCUCUGCAUCGAACGAGUUUUCCCAAUUGCGAACUUGGUUAAACGCCUAAUUAACGUUGUGUUAGCCUUUAGCGUUACCGAUAAUUUUGCAAUAUUCUGCAGUAUCGAUCCUGGUAAAUUAAUAUCGCGAAGGGCUUAAAGACCAAGGGAGGUGUGUGUGAGGAUCCGGACGUGACUUAAAAUUGAGACUCUGGUGUCAUCAACUAGCGUGGAUAAAGUAGGUGAACUGUUAGACGCUGAACUACACUACGUCGUCUCGAUAUGCCGUGCGCCUUUUUUCACGCAGGGAAGAAAACAAGGGUGGAAGUUUGUCUAGGAGAAGCUCGGGACAUCAGGACGAUGAUGAUGGCGAAAGAGAGCCUAGCGGGGCUCGAGUAAAUUCAACGCAUUUUGCGAUAUCGAUUGACCGAGGUUAGGCCCGGCAGCUUUAGGUCUCGUUGUCAGGAGGAUCGUCCCUGGGAGAGUCACAAAACCACGAGGAAGAACACCAGGAGGUCGCUAUUACCAAAUGACAAACCUUGAGGAAGUAGGACGCACCAUAAGAACAGCAAGCAUAGGAGUGUUUCGGAUGAUCAGAAUAAAAAGAAAGAUAAAAUAUCCAAAAGCACUCCUCAGGAGUGACCGAACGCAAUACGCAUCCUGGGACUAUGCCCAGAUUUUGAACUCACCGUCGAACGGAAGGUUAAACUGUUGCAAGGGUCGGUCUAGGAGCUUCCAUGAGG